ACAUCGAAGUUCCCACUUGUAGAUUACGAUUCUUCCCCUGUUGCUCCAAGAAAAUCAAUAAACAUGGCGACGACAACAUAUUGUCUUCAUAAUUUUGUUGAUUAUUUUGGGUCAGAAACGGUAAUAUGAUACCAGAUAUUUGACAUCCGUUUAGUAAUUGCGGAAGAAAUCGAAAUAUCUGCAGGCGAAACUUUCAUGAAUGACUUCCCGCUAAUGUCAGUUAAGGUCUGCUCUGUUCCUUGCGUAGGUGUAUCUGUCAAACCGUAUGUUUUGUUGUGGUGUUGAAUCUCGAGAGCAGAUAGUAAAAAGUAAGGUGUUGGCGUUCUGAUCGUAUAACAGUUAGUGAAUAAUAUACGUACAUCGAAAAUUAUUGUCAAAUAUUCGUCAGUAAUUCAGUAAAACAAUAUUACGCGACUUUUAUAGUACAGAGCAGUAACGUCAAAACAAUCCUCGGAUAACGUUUUUGGGGCAUCUGUUAGCUGGUUCAGCAAUAAGAAAAAUAAAACUGCAUGUGAAUUUGGGCUGUUGAAAAUGAGUGAGCACAGACUAUAUAAAACUUCAUCAACUUUGGAUUACAAAUGAUACUGUAAUGGCAUAACAUUCUUGCUUAUCAAUUUGAACAAAAGACAAGCAACACAAUUGUGGUAAUAUAAAAAAGUGUGUAAACAAAACCAUUCUGAGAGUCAAAUUGGCAUCUGAAUUACAUAACGGAAAUAAAAUUUUCAUGAUAUAAAGACCACUUGUGAGCCAAGCUGACAACUCUCACCAUGUGCUCCCAACAGUUACUAGCUCUAAGGGCAGCAUUGACUCAUUAUGGCAUAGAAUCCACAAGACAGCAAAAGAACAUUAAAAGCUCAGCUACCCACAAUGCUAAAAUUGGUGAGAACAAGAUACUAGGCAUGCACACUCCCAGGAGUGGGUGCAGAAUUCACUUUUUUUGGGGGGGGGGGGGGGGGGGAAGCCAUAAGGAUCAGGAGGUUGGACAUGUUCUUACAGGAUUUGAGAGAUUAAUUUUAAAAUAAAAAUACUCCCUCCCUCCCUCUCUCUCUCUCUCUUUCUCUCUCUCUGUAUAUUAUUGAAAUACUGGGCAUUGCAGUAAUGCAUGGAGUUAUCAGCUAUACAGACCACUACUGGGUUGGUGUAGGUGAACAAACAACUGGACAAAAUCUGUCAUCAAGGCACAGUUUACUUUGUGUGACAUGAUGAUGGAUAUACUGUGUGUCCCAUUUCAUCACAUGUAAAUGUUUUGCAUUUAAUGAUACCAAUACUGGCAUGUACUCUGAUGGGAAAGGGGUCUAUCAUUGCUUUACAUACUUUUUUGACAUAUUUGUACCCCUUCAUUGGCAUAUAACACAAGCUUUGUGUCCAAUAGUCAAUACUGUCAUGUACCCACGCCAACUCAGUGGUCCUUUAUGGGCAUUUAAAAAGACAUAUGUGGCACAGUGGCCUCUUUUCUCAUAACCAAGGUAUGGUUUUGGUCAUCAUAUUUUGUUGGUGUCCAUUCAAAACUGUCUUAUCUGAUGCUCUAUGACCUUAUAGCUAACACCAGGGUGCUAAUGAGGUAACUUGAACUGAGUUAUUAUUUCUAGAGAGCUGACAUGGAAACCCAUGAAAACCAAGACCCUCCAAAAUAAAUGGAAUACACAUUGCAUUUGUUCCUGAUUUGAUUAAGAUGGGUCCAGUGAUAUCCAGUAUGUUGCCCUUUCUGUAAACAUAUAUCAGCUAAAUGCCCAGUUUAAUGUCAGAUGAAUCAUACUGUAUGCAACACUCAAUUAAUCCGUUUGAUGACUUCUGAAGAGUGGUGUCUCCGAUGUAGUAAUGCCUAUGGUGCAUUUGAAAAUAUGAAAGAAAACUUCAUUUUUCAAGUUUACAGUCGACCUACUUCAAAGGUCAGAGAACUAAGCAAAUAAAUGACAUAUUUAUGUUGAUAAGAAAAUGUCAUAUGUAAAAAAAAAAAAAAAAGUGUGUAAUGGAAUUAGGCAUAGGUUAACAGCAAAUUAAAAA